rnacentral:tRNA from 1 species
GCGGAUCGUGAAAAAAGAAAGUUCUGGCGGCGGUCGUCAGCUUUCCAAGCUGAAUCCGAGGGUUUGAUCCCUUCACCCGCUCCA